GACGAACGCUGGCGGCGUGCCUAAUACAUGCAAGUUGAGCGCUGAAGGUUGGUACUUGUACCGACUGGAUGAGCAGCGAACGGGUGAGUAACGCGUGGGGAAUCUGCCUUUGAGCGGGGGACAACAUUUGGAAACGAAUGCUAAUACCGCAUAAAAACUUUAAACACAAGUUUUAAGUUUGAAAGAUGCAAUUGCAUCACUCAAAGAUGAUCCCGCGUUGUAUUAGCUAGUUGGUGAGGUAAAGGCUCACCAAGGCGAUGAUACAUAGCCGACCUGAGAGGGUGAUCUGCCACAGUGGGACUGGGACACGGCCCAAACUCCUACGGGAGGCAGCAGUAGGGAAUCUUCGGCAAUGGACGAAAGGCUGACCGAGCAACGCCGCGUGAGUGAAGAAGGGUUUCGGAUCGUAAAACUCUGUUGGUAGAGAAGAACGUUGGUGAGAGUGGAAAGCUCAUCAAGUGACGGUAACUACCCAGAAAGGGACGGCUAACUACGUG
rnacentral:rRNA from 1 species